CGGGGACAUCAGCUGCUGUGGCCAGAGAAGAGAACAUGAUGGUCCAGGGUGCAGCUGCUGAAGAAGGAUCCCAGACUCUACCCAGAUCCCCAAAUACCAUCUCUUCUGCCUGUAACUGAGCCAGUAAAAGGAAAAAGGAGGACAGCAGCACUGAGGGUAGACUACGGCUCCAGUGGUUAAUUUCACUGGAUCAAGAAGAGACAUAGGAAAGGAAAAACAUUGGUGUGUAAGGGAGGGACAGUCACUUCUUUGUUCAUGCUAUUAGUUGAUUAGGUAAACAUCAUUUGAUUUGUCUUUGUGCUAGUGGGCAGAACUACAGCGUAAAGUUGAAAGUCAUUUUGGACUCCCUUUUCUCAUAAGAGGCAGGGUGAGAUGGCUUGGAAGUAGGCUGAGAAACAUUACUCUUGAUAGUUAUCCAAACUCUGCCUCAUAGGAGGCAUGGAUGUGGUUUUCCCUCACAUUUGGGUAUGAAAUCUGAGAUUCCAUUUCUGAUCUCUACUUAGGAUGGCCAUAGGUAGUUCAGUACUAGUGACCUGUUUUGAAUCAAGGCCUAUUAGGCUCACCUAGCUUAGAUAGGAGCAUGGUCCACAAAAUCUAGGCUAGCUAGAAAUGGAGCUGACAGAAGACAGACUCGCCUGUUAGAAUAACUAGUAAUAGCUAAGGCUUAUUGACUAUUGUGUGCCAGGCAUGACUCUAAGGACUUUGAAGCUAUAGUUUUAUAUAAUCCUUGCAGUACCCUUGUGAGGUUACUGUUCUUAUCUCCAUUUAAGGAGUGAGGAAA
rnacentral:lncRNA from 1 species